GCCCAAGCAUAUAUAGAAUAUCGCGAGCAUGAAUUUAGCAAAUUUUCUUUCCUCAUCACCAGAUCAAAUUUUUUACCUCCUGAGAUGAGAUUAAAUGAAGAGUCAACGAGAAUUCAUAUAGCCAACCCAAUUAGUUUAACUUGUCUAGUAUUGAACCAUAGUUGUUAUUAUGUGAAUAACUUCUUGAACUUACAAAUAGAUGAUGACUUGAAGGAAUG
rnacentral:lncRNA from 1 species